rnacentral:rRNA from 1 species
UACGGAGGGUGCAAGCGUUAAUCGGAAUUACUGGGCGUAAAGCGCACGCAGGCGGUCUGUCAAGUCGGAUGUGAAAUCCCCGGGCUUAACCUGGGAACUGCAUUCGAAACUGGCAGGCUAGAGUCUUGUAGAGGGGGGUAGAAUUCCAGGUGUAGCGGUGAAAUGCGUAGAGAUCUGGAGGAAUACCGGUGGCGAAGGCGGCCCCCUGGACAAAGACUGACGCUCAGGUUCGAAAGCGUGGGGAGCAAACAGG